UAUUUUCUCUUUCAAGCGCUCUUGAGAAAGCGCAGUAUGGAAAAAACAGAUAUCUGCCCUGAUUGAAUAUGCCUAAGAUCCCUAACACUAAACAACUCCAAUCACACCUCUGGAUUUCCCAUCUGUGUGUUCCAGGCUCAGUGUCCGUGAGGCCCAGCCCACAGCUCCCUCUCCCCGUCCUCAACCAAUCCUUCAGCCUGGACUGUGACGGCUCCUUCCCAGGCCCGCCAGUGCUUUGGUACAAGACGGCCAGGUUGUAGCUCCAGACGCCAGGAUAAACCUGUUGGAACACAACACCUCCCUCCACUUCAACUCCCUGCUGUCAUCUGAUGGUGGCUUCUAUCAGUGCGAGGUGACUAUGGCAAACAUGGCUGAAAGCAAGGUAUAAGAUGUAACGCCUACGCUUCAUUUGGCAGAAUCAGUGAAUAUGGGUGAUGCUCUCCAAUUUUCCUUAAAAGAAAUGUAGAGGCAAAGCUAUUUUGCUGACAUUUUCUUCCUUUGCUGACAGUUCAUCAUUGGAGUGUUAGUAUCAGUGGCCCUGACACAGUGUUGCCUGGGAGGGAAUACACCUUUACCUGCAAGGUGAACUGCACUGUCGACCUGGACUGCUCCAUCCGCUGGCCAUUGAGGGGGGGUAUCCUCACUAGCACCUACCUCUCCGUGAACAGGAACAUCCUGAAAUGGAUCCCGUCGGUACCUGGUACGAUCCAGACCUUCACCUGUGUGGUGGAGAACACAGCAGCUGGACGCUCUGCAGAGGCCUCCAAUACAAUGAAGGUCACAGGACCCACAGUAUCAGGAUCUGAAACAGAGGCUGACUGGAGUUUUAGGACUGGUCCUCUGUAUGGGACUGCUGUUCCUGCUGGAUCCCUAGUGGGGGCGCUAUAAGACUACAGACGAUGGGAAGGACAGAGGAGAACAUUGAUUGAGACCAGGUUCACCUUCAGAAUGAACAAUAAAACAGGAACCAACGUUUGGAAAUUCUUCAUCAUGUCCAAUAAGAAUGCUAAUUUCUCAGAAUAAGAAUAUAAGAAUGUAAGAAUGUUUCCUAUGUUAUGGCAUAAUGAUAGUUGAGUCAUUGGAAGUUUCCAGUGAAUUAUGUUUAUAAUUCACAUGCAGUGGAUAAUGAUGAGAAAUUAUCUAUGUAAUAUUUCCUUAUUUGCAAUACGUACUGUAAUAUAAUUAUUUGUAUUAUUUCUGUACUUUGUUGCUGUUGAGAUGACCUUGUAAAAUAUACUCCCAGACGAGUGUGGUAAUACAGUUGAAGUCAGAAGUUUACACAGAUCUUAGCCAAAUACAUUUAAACUCAGUUUUCACAAUUCCUGACAUUUCAUUCUAGUAACAAUUCCCUGUCUUACUUAGGUCAGUUAGGAUCACCACUUUAUUUUAAGAAUGUGAAAUGUCAGAAUAAUAGUAGAGAGAAUGAUUUAUUUCAGCUUUUAUUUAUUUCAUCACAUUUCCAGUGGGUCAGAAGUUUACAUACAGUCAAUUAGUAGCAUGUAGCAAUAUGUAGCAUUGUCUUUAAAUUGUUUAACUUGGGUCAAACGUUUCGGGUAGUCUUCCACGAGCUUCCCACAAUCAGUUGGGUGAAUUUUGGCCCAUUCCUCCUGACAGAGCUGGUGUAACCGAGUCAGGUUUUUAGGCCUCCUUGCUCGCGCACACUUUUUCAGUUCUGCCCACAAAGGUUCUAGAGGAUUGAGGUCAGGGCUGUGUGAUGGCCACUCCAAUACCUUGACUUUGUUGUCCUUAAGCCAUUUUGCCACAACUUUGGAAGGAUGAUUGGGGUCAUUGUCCAUUUGGAAGACCCAUUUGCGACCAAGCUUUAACUUCCUGACUGAUGUCUUGAGACGUUGCUUCAAUUUAUCCACAUAAUUUUCCUCCCUCAUGAAGCCAUUUAUUUUGUGAAGUGCACCAGGCCCUCCUGCAGCAAAGCACCCCCACAACAUGAUGCUGCCACCUCCGUGCUUCAUGGUUGGGAUGGUGUCACCUGAAUGACCCUAAAAAGUCUAUGUCUGGUAACAGUAAUGUUAAUUUUUUUACAUUUGUAUUUAUUUAUUUUAUCUUUAUUUAACUAGGCAAGUCAGUUAAGAACAAAUUCUUAUUUUCAAUGACGGCCUAGGAACAGUGGGUUAACUGCCUGUUCAGGGGCAGAACGACAGAUUUGUACCUUGUCAGUCAUGUGUUUGGAAG
rnacentral:lncRNA from 13 species